UGGAGGUAUUUCUUAAUGAUGGUGUUAAAUGAAACAUCAUUGAAGAAGAUGCUCUCUGUCUUCAGGGAUUGUUCAGUAUAAGAGAAAUGGAAUUUCCAGGCUUUCUCUGUUUCUAGAUAUAAUCUACUGUACGAAUAAAGCACCCAACUGGUUAAUAUUCCUAUACUCAAAAGUACUCUUUCAUUAUAGGAUUAUAGUAUUCUUUCAUUAUAGGAUGAUAGGAGAAUAUCAGGGAACAGGAAAUGAGGUUGAAGAGAGAAAUGUAGACUGAUGCCAAAGAUAACUUCAUGUUCCUAGGAGUCUGAUUUUUUGAAGAUGUAAACCUGAGGCAUAUGGUUAACUGAUACAAGGCACCACAUGUGAAGAGGUCACUCACAGAUCAUAUCUGCGGACU